GUUCUGUUGAUCUUAUGUGCUGCACAAUAAUGUUUAAUAUUUAGUAUUUACUGUCAUAUUCCCAUAUAUCAUUGUGAUGCUGUUUAUUCUAUUACUCUUGUUCUCUUCUGCUUGUUUUCUUUUUUCUUUCUCAGCAGGUGAUCCAGGUGAUCGAUAUAUGCAUUUUUUUUUCUCUGCCCGUUCUGUUGGUUUUUGUCUUUUGCCCUUCUCCCCCGUCCCUCUUCUCAGCUGUUUCUCUUUCCCUCUUUCUUUCUCCCCUUCUUUCCCCCAGUCAAGUCUGUCCCGUAUUCAGCAAGUGAAAAUAAAAUAAACAAUAAAAGGUGAAUCAAAUGGACCAUUACGGCAAGGCUGGGAUGGUCAAUUUGGUAAAGUAAAUCCGUUGGGCAUCUUUCUUUGCCUUUAGACAACAAUUCUGAUGGCAAAAAUAAAGAGGUGGAGGAAGAUCUCAGCCUGGGUGUUUAUUGUCUUAUGUAGUCUGGAAGAUGAGUGGAUGGUGGGGUGGGUGCAGUUUUCUCCGUGGUGGGGUUGGGUGGACUGUCCCGGGCUCUGUGGGGCCAGGAGGCGCUGCUGCACUGGGCCCCGGUCUGGAUGGGCCUGGGCCCCCUUUCCCUGGCGGGUCGCGGAGUAUGGGGGUGCCUACUGGGGUCAGCAGGGGAGCUGGCCCCAGGGAGGGGUCACUUGCCCCUCCCUUCCUACCCUCCCCAUCUCCAGCUGCCUCCCUCUUCCCGCUCCACCACAACCACCCACACAUGCAGGACCUUGGAGUAGGGGUAUGUCACCAGGGUGGUGACAAAAGAGCCAAACGGGACAGGCAAAAAAAAAAAAAUAGAAUAUCCUGAUGCAACAAAAAUACCAAAAGGUGAAGCCUUCGAUCAGCUGAUGUCUACAGCAUAAAAUGAAUCGUAGCUGCAGGGGAGGAGAAGUAAUUCUGAGUGAAUUGGGAGUGGAUUGGGGAAAGGGAAGAGGAGCUGGCUGGAAACAAUGCCUGCCAUCAAUUAGAACAUCCAAACAAGUGUUUUGAUUUGACGUUGGUACCACAGCCUAAAACAACAGUGAAAACUUGUGUAGCAACAAAAGGAAAGACGAGAUGAUGUCUGUUGUCUUUUAUAGGUCAGCGAUGUGCAACCCGAUAUAUUUCAGACAGCAUAAAAAACCAUCAGCUUCUAAACUUGUGUCAAGAUCUGCAUUCCUCCAAAAACCUUUACAGUAUGUGUUUGCUGAGAAAUGAG
ensembl:lncRNA